rnacentral:rRNA from 1 species
UUGUUGGUAGGGUAAUGGCCUACCAAGACAAUGAUCAAUAGCUGAUUUGAGAGGAUGAUCAGCCACAUUGGGACUGAGACACGGCCCAAACUCCUACGGGAGGCAGCAGUAGGGAAUCUUGCACAAUGGGGGAAACCCUGAUGCAGCGAUGCCGCGUGAGUGAAGAAGGCCUUUGGGUUGUAAAGCUCUUUCGUCGGGGAAGAAAAUGACUGUACCCGAAUAAGAAGGUCCGGCUAACUUCGUGCCAGCAGCCGCGGUAAUACGAAGGGACCUAGCGUAGUUCGGAAUUACUGGGCUUAAAGAGUUCGUAGGUGGUUAAAAAAGUUGGUGGUGAAAUCCCAGAGCUUAACUCUGGAACUGCCAUCAAAACUUUUUAGCUAGAGUAUGAUAGAGGAAAGCAGAAUUUCUAGUGUAGAGGUGAAAUUCGUAGAUAUUAGAAAGAAUACCGAUUGCGAAGGCAGCUUUCUGGAUCAUUACUGACACUGAGGAACGAAAGCAUGGGUAGCGAAGAGGAUUAGAUACCCUCGUAGUCCAUGCCGUAAACGAUGUGUGUUAGACGUUGGAAAUUUAUUUUCUGUGUCGCAGCGAAAGCAAUAAACACACCGCCUGGGGAGUACGACCGCAAGGUUAAAACUCAAAUGAAUUGACGGGGACCCGCACAAGUAGUGGAGCAUGUGGUUUAAUUCGAAGAUACGCGCAGAACCUUACCAACACUUGACAUGUUCGUCGCGACUUUAAGAGAUUAAAGUUUUCGGUUCGGCCGGACGAAACACAGGUGCUGCAUGGCUGUCGUCAGCUCGUGUCGUGAGAUGUUGGGUUAAGUCCCGCAACGAGCGCAACCCUCACUUUUAGUUGCCAUCAUUUAGUUGGGCACUCUGAAAGAACUGCCAGUGAUAAGCUGGGAGGAAGG